rnacentral:tRNA from 1 species
GAGAUAUUAGUAAAAUGAUUGCAUAACUUUGUAAAAGUUAACUUAUAGGUUAAACUCCUUUAUGUCUCU